CAGCAGCCGCGGUAAUACAGAGGGUGCGAGCGUUAAUCGGAUUUACUGGGCGUAAAGCGCACGCAGGCGGUCUGUCAAGUCGGAUGUGAAAUCCCCGGGCUCAACCUGGGAACUGCAUUCGAAACUGGCAGGCUAGAGUCUUGUAGAGGGGGGUAGAAUUCCAGGUGUAGCGGUGAAAUGCGUAGAGAUCUGGAGGAAUACCGGUGGCGAAGGCGGCCCCCUGGACAAAGACUGACGCUCAGGUGCGAAAGCGUGGGGAGCAAACAGGAUUAGAUACCCCGGUAGUCCCUGUCUCUUAUAA
rnacentral:rRNA from 1 species